rnacentral:rRNA from 1 species
UACACUCCUGCGGGAGGCAGCAGUGGGGAAUAUUGGACAAUGGGCGCAAGCCUGAUCCAGCCAUGCCGCGUGAGUGAUGAAGGCCCUAGGGUUGUAAAGCUCUUUCACCGGUGAAGAUAAUGACGGUAACCGGAGAAGAAGCCCCGGCUAACUUCGUGCCAGCAGCCGCGGUAAUACGAAGGGGGCUAGCGUUGUUCGGAUUUACUGGGCGUAAAGCGCACGUAGGCGGACUAUUAAGUCAGGGGUGAAAUCCCGGGGCUCAACCCCGGAACUGCCUUUGAUACUGGUAGUCUUGAGUUCGAGAGAGGUGAGUGGAAUUCCGAGUGUAGAGGUGAAAUUCGUAGAUAUUCGGAGGAACACCAGUGGCGAAGGCGGCUCACUGGCUCGAUACUGACGCUGAGGUGCGAAAGCGUGGGGAGCAAACAGGAUUAGAAACCCGUGUAGUCCCAUGAU